ACACGCAUGACACACUGCAUAUCAAUAAGCGGAGGAAAAGAAACUAACAAGGAAUUCCCUUAGUAACGGCGAGUGAAGCGGGAAGAGCUCAAAUUUGAAAUCUUCAAGGUUCUACCUUGACGAAUUGUAGUUUAUAGAAGUGUUUUCUGUUAGUAGGAGUGGCAAAAGUUCUUUGGAAUAGGACAUCAUAGAGGGUGAGAAUCCCGUAUUUGGUCAUUCCUUCUAGCGUUGUGAUACACUUUCAACGAGUCGGAUUGUUUGGGAAUGCAGUCCAAAAUGGGUGGUAAAUUCCAUCUAAAGCUAAAUAUUGGCGAGAGACCGAUAGCGAACAAGUACCGUGAGGGAAAGAUGAAAAGAACUUUGAAAAGAGAGUUAAACAGUACGUGAAAUUGUCAAAAGGGAAGCGUUUGACACCAGUGUUGUUUUCUCGAAAAUCAAUUAAAAAUGACCGGAUUUUGUGUUGUAUUGACCUUAAAAGCUUUCUUCACUCUUUUCUUGUCCUUUUUAAUGCACUUUUCGGUUAACAAGUCAACAUCAAUUUCUUUUGUUGUAAAAGGGUAUGAGGAAGGUGGCUUUCUUUUCGGAGAAAGUGUUUAUAGCCUUGUGCCUCUGCAAUCGGAGAGAUUGAGGUCUGCAGCGUAGAUCCUUCGGGGUUAGAUACAUUUGUGCUAAGUUAUAGCUUGUCAUAGACAACUUGUUGACUAUGUUAGUCAUUGUAGCUUACUCGCUUAUGCUAUUUUACCUACGCUUAGGAUGUUGACGAGACUGUCGAUCUC
rnacentral:rRNA from 1 species